UACGAAGGGGGCUAGCGUUGUUCGGAAUCACUGGGCGUAAAGCGCACGCAGGCGGAUUGAUAAGUCAGGGGUGAAAUCCCGGAGCUCAACUUCGGAAUUGCCUUUGAUACUGUCUAUCUUCGAGUUCGGGAGAGGUUGGCGGAAUUCCUAGUGUAGAGGUGAAAUUCGUAGAUAUUAGGAAAGAACACCAGUGGCGAAGGCGGGCCAAACUGGCCCGAUACCUGACGCUACAUGUGCCGAAAGCGUGGGGGAAGCAAACGAGGGAAUUACAGAAAGGUAACCCUAAGGCAAUGAAUCCGGAUGCCAG
rnacentral:rRNA from 1 species